GACGAACGCUGGCGGCGUGCCUAAUACAUGCAAGUAGAACGCUGAAGGAGGAGCUUGCUCUUCUGGAUGAGUUGCGAACGGGUGAGUAACGCGUAGGUAACCUGCCUGGUAGCGGGGGAUAACUAUUGGAAACGAUAGCUAAUACCGCAUAACAGUAGAUGUUGCAUGACAUUUGCUUAAAAGGUGCAAUUGCAUCACUACCAGAUGGACCUGCGUUGUAUUAGCUAGUUGGUGGGGUAACGGCUCACCAAGGCGACGAUACAUAGCCGACCUGAGAAGGUGAUCGGCCACAAUGGGACUGAGACACGGCCCAGACUCCUACGGGAGGCAGCAGUAGGGAAUCUUCGGCAAUGGACGGAAGUCUGACCGAGCAACGCCGCGUGAGUGAAGAAGGUUUUCGGAUCGUAAAGCUCUGUUGUAAGAGAAGAACGAGUGUGAGAGUGGAAAGUUCACACUGUGACGGUAUCUUACCAGAAAGGGACGGCUAACUACGUG
rnacentral:rRNA from 1 species